GCGAACGGGCACUUCGGUGCUAGUGGCAGACGGGUGAGUAACACGUGGGAACGUACCUUUUGGUUCGGAAUAAUUCAGGGAAACUUGGACUAAUACCGGAUACGCCCUUCGGGGGAAAGAUUUAUCGCCGAAAGAUCGGCCCGCGUCUGAUUAGCUAGUUGGUGAGGUAAUGGCUCACCAAGGCGACGAUCAGUAGCUGGUCUGAGAGGAUGAUCAGCCACACUGGGACUGAGACACGGCCCAGACUCCUACGGGAGGCAGCUAGUGGGGAAUAUUGGACAAUGGGCGCAAGCCUGAUCCAGCCAUGCCGCGUGUGUGAUGAAGGCCUUAGGGUUGUAAAGCACUUUUGUCCGGGAAGAUAAGACUGUACCGGAA
rnacentral:rRNA from 1 species